rnacentral:rRNA from 1 species
AUUGAACGCUGGCGGCAUGCCUUACACAUGCAAGUCGAACGGCAGCACGGGAGCAAUCCUGGUGGCGAGUGGCGAACGGGUGAGUAAUACAUCGGAACGUGCCCAGUAGUGGGGGAUAACCCGGCGAAAGCCGGACUAAUACCGCAUACGACCUACGGGUGAAAGCAGGGGAUCGCAAGACCUUGCGCUAUUGGAGCGGCCGAUGUCAGAUUAGCUUGUUGGNGGGGUAAAAGCCUACCAAGGCAACGAUCUGUAGCUGGUCUGAGAGGACGACCAGCCACACUGGGACUGAGACACGGCCCAGACUCCUACGGGAGGCAGCAGUGGGGAAUUUUGGACAAUGGGCGCAAGCCUGAUCCAGCCAUGCCGCGUGCGGGAAGAAGG